GAGAAAAUUCUCUCAAUGUAGGUUAAAGAAAUUUUGCUGAAAUCAAUAGCUCAAGCAAUACCUUCAUAUGUGAUGUCAGUAUCUAAACUGCCCAAAGGAAUCUGCAAAACAAUCACUGAUGAGAUGGCUGGAUUUUGGUGGGGUGAUAAUGAGGAGAAGAAGAUGCAUUAGUUUGCAUGGUUGAAAUUGUGUGUACCGAAGAAGAAAGGGGGCUUGGGUUUUAGAGACCUUCACGUUUUUAACCUUGCUAUGUUAGCAAAACAGGUUUGGCGACUAAUCCAGAAUCCGGACUCCUUAUGUGCAUGUGUUUUAACUGCAAAAUAUUAUCCAAAUGGUAACAUUUUGAAGGCUGGACCAAAGAAGGGUUCUCAUACACUUGGCAAAGCAUUGUUGUGGGCAUCCAAACUUUUCAACGGGGUUGUAUCUGCCGUGUGGGACUGGGAGCACAAAUUGAUAUUAGGCAAGACCCAUGAAUUCCAUCAAGCCCUUCACGGAAGGUAA
rnacentral:rRNA from 1 species